ACGCACGCUGGCGGCGUGCUUAACACAUGCAGGUCGAACGGAAAGGCCCUGCUUGCAGGGUACUCGAGUGGCGAACGGGUGAGUAACACGUGGGUGAUCUGCCCUGCACUUCGGGAUAAGCCUGGGAAACUGGGUCUAAUACCGGAUAGGAGCCAUUUUUAGUGUGAUGGUUGGAAAGUUUUUUCGGUGUAGGAUGAGCUCGCGGCCUAUCAGCUUGUUGGUGGGGUAAUGGCCUACCAAGGCGGCGACGGGUAGCCGGCCUGAGAGGGUGGACGGCCACAUUGGGACUGAGAUACGGCCCAGACUCCUACGGGAGGCAGCAGUGGGGAAUAUUGCACAAUGGGCGCAAGCCUGAUGCAGCGACGCCGCGUGGGGGAUGACGGCCUUCGGGUUGUAAACUCCUUUCGCUAGGGACGAAGCUUUUUGUGACGGUACCUAGAGAAGAAGCACCGGCUAACUACGUG
rnacentral:rRNA from 1 species